rnacentral:sRNA from 1 species
CCCACUCCAUCCUACAGACCAGGUGCAGUUUGAGAAGUGUGGCAAGAGGGUGGAUCGGCUGGAUCAGCGUCGUUCCAAGCUGCGCGUGGUUGGGGGCCAUCCAGGCAACUCACCCUGGACAGUCAGCUUGCGGAAUCGGUGAGGCACAACUGCCUGUCUCCCACACAGAGGAGCUGAGGUUGUGUCCUCUGUGGUUAUCCCACUGGGGGUUGGUAAUCUAUCCCUGCCCCCAGAGGUCCUAGCCAGAAGAUGGCAGGUCUAGCAUCUGUCCCAGGAGUCUGUUUCCUGUCCUAAUUCCCCACUCCUCUAGGCAGGGCCAGCAUUUCUGCGGGGGGUCUCUAGUGAAGGAGCAGUGGAUACUGACUGCCCGGCAGUGCUUCUCCUCCUGCCAUAUGCCUCUCACAGGCUAUGAGGUAUGGUUGGGCACCCUGUUCCAGAAUCCACAGCACGGAGAACCAGGCCUACAGCGGGUCCCAGUAGCCAAGAUGGUGUGUGGGCCCUCAGGCUCCCAGCUUGUCCUGCUCAAGCUGGAGAGAUCUGUGACCCUGAACCAGCGGGUGGCCCUGAUCUGCCUGCCCCCUGAAUGGUAUGUGGUGCCUCCAGGGACCAAGUGUGAGAUUGCAGGCUGGGGUGAGACCAAAGGUACGGGUAAUGACACAGUCCUAAAUGUGGCCUUGCUGAACGUCAUCUCCAACCAGGAGUGCAACAUCAAGCACCGAGGACGUGUGCGGGAGAGCGAGAUGUGCACGGAGGGACUGUUGGCCCCUGUGGGGGCCUGUGAGGGUGACUAUGGAGGCCCACUUGCCUGCUUUACCCACAACUGCUGGGUCCUGGAAGGAAUUAUAAUCCCCAACCGAGUAUGCGCAAGGUCCCGCUGGCCAGCCAUCUUCACGCGUGUCUCUGUGUUUGUGGACUGGAUUCAC